CUCCUUUGACGUUAGCGGCGGACGGGUGAGUAACACGUGGGUAACCUACCUAUAAGACUGGGAUAACUUCGGGAAACCGGAGCUAAUACCGGAUAAUAUUUCGAACCGCAUGGUUCGAUAGUGAAAGGUGGUUUUGCUAUCACUUAUAGAUGGACCCGCGCCGUAUUAGCUAGUUGGUAAGGUAACGGCUUACCAAGGCGACGAUACGUAGCCGACCUGANAGGGUGAUCGGCCACACUGGAACUGAGACACGGUCCAGACUCCUACGGGAGGCAGCAGCC
rnacentral:rRNA from 1 species